UACAGAGGUCCCGAGCGUUGUUCGGAUUCAUUGGGCGUAAAGGGUGCGUAGGCGGUUUGCUAAGUUUGAUGUGAAAUUCCAGGGCUCAACCCUGGCAUGGCAUUGAAUACUGGCGGACUAGAGUACUGGAGAGGAAACUGGAAUUACGGUGUAGCAGUGAAAUGCGUAGAGAUCGUAAGGAAGACCAGUGGCGAAGGCGAGUUUCUGGACAGUAACUGACGCUGAGGCACGAAGGCCAGGGGAGCAAACGGG
rnacentral:rRNA from 1 species